rnacentral:rRNA from 1 species
GAUGAACGCUGGCGGCGUGCCUAAUACAUGCAAGUCGAGCGAACAGACGCGGAGCUUGCUCCUCUGACGUUAGCGGCGGACGGGUGAGUAACACGUGGAUAACCUACCUAUAAGACUGGGAUAACUUCGGGAAACCGGCGCUAAUAUCGGAUAAUAUAUUGAACCGCAUUGUUCAAUAGUGAAAGACGGCUUUUCUGUCACUUAUAGAUGCAUCCGCGCCGCAUUAGCUAGUUGGUAAGGUAACGACUUAACAAGGCAAGGAUGCGUAGCCGACCUGAGAGAGUGAUAGGCCAAACUAGAGAUGAAACACGGUCAAGGCUACUGAGAGAGGCAGCAGUAGGAAAUCUUAGGCAAUAGGCGAAAGCAUGACAAAGCAACGGCAAGCGAGUGAUAAAGGUCUUCGGAGCGUAAGACUCUGUUAUUAGGGAAGAACAGAUGUGUAAGGAGCUAUGCACGGAUUGAAGGUACAUAAUAAGAAAGCAAAGGCUAACUACGUG